GCGGGGGAGAUGAAUGACGAAGCUUGAAGCGCUCGUCAACAAUGGUGGGGCCGAACGAUUGAGGAAGGGAGAACGCCGAUGGUUAUGGUCGAGGGAAGUUGAUGAGUCCUCGUGAAGGAGAAGACAUGGGGUGCUGAGAGGAAAGAAAGAUCAAGAAGAAGAUGGGAAGAAGAG